rfam:Cupriavidus basilensis strain 4G11 chromosome secondary, complete sequence.
GGUCAAGCGAACAAGUGCAUGUGGUGGAUGCCUUGGCGAUCACAGGCGAUGAAGGACGCGGUAGCCUGCGAAAAGCUUCGGGGAGCUGGCAAACAAGCUUUGAUCCGGAGAUGUCCGAAUGGGGAAACCCGGCCCUUAUGGGUCAUCCCUGACUGAAUACAUAGGUCAGGGAAGCGAACGCGGCGAACUGAAACAUCUAAGUAGCUGCAGGAACAGAAAUCAACCGAGAUUCCCAGAGUAGUGGCGAACGAAAUGGGAAGAGCCUUGUACUCUUUAGCAGCAUUGUUAGCAGAACGGGAUGGAAAGCCCGGCCAUAGCAGGUGAUAGCCCUGUAUGCGAAAACAGCGUUGUGGAACUAGGUGUACGACAAGUAGGGCGGGACACGUGAAAUCCUGUCUGAAGAUGGGGGGACCAUCCUCCAAGGCUAAAUACUCGUGAUCGACCGAUAGUGAACCAGUACCGUGAGGGAAAGGCGAAAAGAACCCCGGGAGGGGAGUGAAAUAGAUCCUGAAACCGCAUGCAUACAAACAGUCGGAGCCUGGAAACGGGUGACGGCGUACCUUUUGUAUAAUGGGUCAGCGACUUACAUUCAGUGGCAAGCUUAACCGAUUAGGGAAGGCGUAGCGAAAGCGAGUCCGAAUAGGGCGUUCAGUCGCUGGGUGUAGACCCGAAACCAGACGAUCUAUCCAUGGCCAGGUUGAAGGUGCGGUAACACGUACUGGAGGACCGAACCCACUAACGUUGAAAAGUUAGGGGAUGAGCUGUGGAUAGGGGUGAAAGGCUAAACAAGUCUGGAAAUAGCUGGUUCUCUCCGAAAACUAUUUAGGUAGUGCCUCGUGUCUCACCUUCGGGGGUAGAGCACUGUCAUGGUUGGGGGGUCUAUUGCUGAUUACCCCGCCAUAGCAAACUCCGAAUACCGAAGAGUGCAAUCACGGGAGACAGACAUCGGGUGCUAACGUCCGGUGUCAAGAGGGAAACAACCCAGACCGCCAGCUAAGGUCCCUAAGAUUGGCUAAGUGGGAAACGAAGUGGGAAGGCUAAAACAGUCAGGAGGUUGGCUUAGAAGCAGCCAUCCUUUAAAGAAAGCGUAAUAGCUCACUGAUCGAGUCGUCCUGCGCGGAAGAUGUAACGGGGCUAAGCCAGUCACCGAAGCUGCGGAUGCACGUAAGUGCAUGGUAGGAGAGCGUUCUGUAAGCCUGUGAAGGUGUCUUGUAAAGGAUGCUGGAGGUAUCAGAAGUGCGAAUGCUGACAUGAGUAGCGAUAAAGGGGGUGAAAAGCCCCCUCGCCGUAAGCCCAAGGUUUCCUACGCAACGUUCAUCGGCGUAGGGUGAGUCGGCCCCUAAGGCGAGGCAGAGAUGCGUAGCUGAUGGGAAGCAGGUUAAUAUUCCUGCACCGUCGUAUGAUGCGAUGGGGGGACGGAUCGCGGAAGGUUGUCCGGGUGUUGGAAGUCCCGGUCCCUGCAUUGGAGAAGGCGCUUAGGCAAAUCCGGGCGCGGAAUUCAAGGAUGCGGGGCGAGCGGCCUAGUGCUGCGAAGCAAUUGGAAGUGGUUCCAAGAAAAGCCUCUAAGCUUCAGUCAUACGAGACCGUACCGCAAACCGACACAGGUGGGCGAGAUGAGUAUUCUAAGGCGCUUGAGAGAACUCGGGAGAAGGAACUCGGCAAAUUGGUACCGUAACUUCGGGAUAAGGUACGCCCUUGUAGCUUGACUGGCCUGCGCCAGGAGGGUGAAGGGGUUGCAAUAAAAUGGUGGCUGCGACUGUUUAAUAAAAACACAGCACUCUGCAAACACGAAAGUGGACGUAUAGGGUGUGACGCCUGCCCGGUGCCGGAAGAUUAAAUGAUGGGGUGCAAGCUCUUGAUUGAAGUCCCGGUAAACGGCGGCCGUAACUAUAACGGUCCUAAGGUAGCGAAAUUCCUUGUCGGGUAAGUUCCGACCUGCACGAAUGGCGUAACGAUGGCCACACUGUCUCCUCCCGAGACUCAGCGAAGUUGAAGUGUUUGUGAUGAUGCAAUCUCCCCGCGGCUAGACGGAAAGACCCCAUGAACCUUUACUGUAGCUUUGCAUUGGACUUUGAACCGAUCUGUGUAGGAUAGGUGGGAGGCUUUGAAGCGUGGACGCUAGUCUGCGUGGAGCCGUCCUUGAAAUACCACCCUGGUUUGUUUGAGGUUCUAACCUUGGUCCGUGAAUCCGGAUCGGGGACAGUGCAUGGUAGGCAGUUUGACUGGGGCGGUCUCCUCCCAAAGUGUAACGGAGGAGUUCGAAGGUACGCUUGGUACGGUCGGACAUCGUACCUAAAGUGCAAUGGCAAAAGCGUGCUUAACUGCGAGACCGACAAGUCGAGCAGGUGCGAAAGCAGGACAUAGUGAUCCGGUGGUUCUGAAUGGAAGGGCCAUCGCUCAACGGAUAAAAGGUACUCUGGGGAUAACAGGCUGAUACCGCCCAAGAGUUCAUAUCGACGGCGGUGUUUGGCACCUCGAUGUCGGCUCAUCUCAUCCUGGGGCUGUAGCCGGUCCCAAGGGUAUGGCUGUUCGCCAUUUAAAGAGGUACGUGAGCUGGGUUUAAAACGUCGUGAGACAGUUUGGUCCCUAUCUGCCGUGGGCGUUGGAAUCUUGACGGGGGCUGCUCCUAGUACGAGAGGACCGGAGUGGACGUACCGCUGGUGUACCUGUUGUCUCGCCAGAGGCAUCGCAGGGUAGCUAUGUACGGAAGAGAUAACCGCUGAAAGCAUCUAAGCGGGAAACUCGCCUGAAGAUGAGGAUUCCCUGGAGCCUUGAGCUCCUUGAAGGGUCGUUCGAGACCAGGACGUUGAUAGGCUGGGUGUGGAAGCGCAGUAAUGCGUUAAGCUAACCAGUACUAAUUGCCCGUAAGGCUUGAUCCU